rnacentral:lncRNA from 1 species
UGUAGAGACUACAAUGCUGAAAUAGAAGAACAGAGGGAGGUGAAACGAUCUCACCGACUACCAGCUCGAAGCACCCAUCUAUCACUAUUGCGUUAGAAAAACUGGGUGCGCAAUAAGUCAACCGGACCUACGAAAAUCCACCGAGUCAGUAUCCAACCAACUUACCCAAAGUACACAACUCACAAACCCCCACACAAGUCCCCAAAAUCGGUUUCCCAGAACCGAUCACCGUAACUCGCCGGAAGUCCCGAAAACCACACCGGGACGCCGUCGG